GAUCACUUUGGGAUGGGUUGCUGGCCACAGAGAGUGGCCAGGACCACAAUUGUCCUCAGGAUAUGCAAAAUUUGGGCCCUGAUUUUCCCUGGGGUCUGGGCAGGGAGAACUGAGGCUAGUAUGCUGCCCUCAGCUGAGGGUAUUGUCUGUGGGCAGAGAAUGUUUAUGAAUGUCCUCAGGAGCAAGGACAUUCCCAUGGACAUUCACCUUCAGAACCUUCUGAGGCUGCUUCCCUAGAGAGUGAACAUGAGGCACUGGGAAGGGUUCUCUAGGACAUUUGGGUGUAAAGACUGAGUAGCACACAUCUGGGACCCUAAGGAGCAGCACCUGUGAUGAGAUAGGGUAGAGCAAAGACCCUGCUCCUCUAGCCCUACCCUCUUUAGCUCCAUCCUCAGAGAGCUUCCUUCACUUAUUUUAACCAUCAUUGUACCUCCCCUUGCAUGGUCAUGGUUACAUGCAAUAGAGGCCACUUCAGUGCUCUCCUUGCUUCUUAAGGAAGCAAUGGAGAAUACAUGCACUUAUUUGACUUUUGCUCUCCUUCCCAUUACUUCCAUACCCACACUUCCUCUUCCCAAACUUUUUUAUUAUCUUUGCUGCCUUGAUCUGACAUUUUAAAUCAGGGAUCAGGGCAGGAUGCCUGGAACAGAUUACUUUGGGAGAAUUAUGUUCUAAUUGUGUAAUCUUGACAUAGGAAAGUAAGGGUACAUUUAUGCAUGCUCAAAACCAGUGAGGGAAGGAAAACCCAGGUGUGCAGUGAUGGCUAGAAUAGAGCACCACUUUUUUAUGUCCCAGGGAAGAACUCAGUCUUUCUGACCACCCCCACCCACCUACUCAACCUCAGUGCAAGGCCAUGCAGUUUUUCUCAAUAUGAUUCAUUGGUGUUGCCUGAGGUCAGAGACCAGGGCAAGACUAAGAAAAUUGGUGCAGACAGAUUAACAGACAUUAAUGAUACAAAGACCUCAAAUAUCUGAAUGGGGAAAGCACCUUUAGAAAUGUCAUAAAAAGUGGGAAAGAGGAAAUAUGGAAAAGAUACAAAGAGUUUCAAAAUAAGAAAUGAAUAAAGAAAAGACACAAAUAGAAAAUCAAUUACUUGCAGAUUUCUGGUCCUUUCUCCUCAUCCUCAUCCUCAGGUUCUGUUACAAUGUCUUCUCUAUGGACUAGGGCUGUAAUGGUGAAGACGUGGCCUUGGAAAAGUGAAAGGCAGAGUUAAAGUCAAGGUGGAUUGCACUCCUACCAGGAAACCUUUCCCAUUGGCUCAUACCACAAAGGCUGUUUCUACCUGCAGGCUCUUCAUCUUCGCUGCUGGAGUCAUAAGCUUGGCUGUAAAUCCAAACUUUAGAGAAACAAACAUCAGCAACAGAGUUACUUAAGAUUAUCUCAUGCUUUCUUCUACACCAAUUAAGCUCAUGGUGGGUGCUAGGGUGAGAUGUUGUCUGUCCCCCACACGAUUGUGUGAUUGAGGCUUGGUACUCAGUAUGGCCAUAAUGAGAGUUGUGAAACCUGCAUGUGGAAGGGUCUCCUUGGAGGCGAUGAGGUCAUUUGAGGGCAUGAGACUCAGAGUUAAGAAUAUAGAUUUCUCAAACCCUUGUCAAAUGCUGGUUAUAUAAGAAGAGCAAAUGAAUCAUCUGAUCCCUGCUGGCUUCCUGUCUCCCCAUGUGAUGUCUCCCUCCUGCACCUGCAUCCAUGCUGACACCACCAAUCAUGUGAUGCAGCUAAGAGGGCAUUCACUAAAGCCACACGCUUACCAGUGCCAUGCUCUUUUCUCCAGAACUUUAAGCUAAACACACCUGUAUAAAUUAGUAUAUCUCAAGUGUUUUCUUAAUAGCAGGAAAUAAUAAUAAUACAUUAAUAUUAAUAGUUAGGAUUACCCUUAUCUCUUUUCUGGCUUCUCAGACCCUCUUAAACUUUGGGGAGUCAGAGGCCUUCAACAGGAUUCUUCAAACAAUUGCAAACAUUUACGUGAGAGAGUGGAGCUGAAGGAGUCAAAUUUUAAGUACUUUCUUCCUCCUAUUGGCACAUUAUUACUCUUUCCUUGAAACAGACCAAGCUGACAUGCAAACUGUGAUGCAGACAGUUUGAAGAAUAUAAAUUCACAGAAUAGACACUGUGCCAGAAUCAGGGCAGCUACCCACAAUAGAAUGGGAAUGUUCUGCCUUAUGGACAUAGGUCUACUGGGCACUUGAAAUGUGAAACUGGGAUGAGGCUCUGAAUGUUUCAUAUUAAAAUUUGAAUAAAAUUAAAUAUAAACAUCACAUC